rnacentral:rRNA from 1 species
UUACGGUCAAAUCACGCUGAAAACACCGGUUCUCGUUCGAUCACCGAAGUUAAGCGUCGUAGAGCCAGGUCAGUACUUAGAUGGGAUUCCGCUUGGGAACACCUGGUACUGUAAG